rnacentral:rRNA from 1 species
UACGUAGGGUGCGAGCGUUAAUCGGAAUUACUGGGCGUAAAGGGCGCGUAGGCGGCCUGCUAAGUCGAACGUGAAAUCCCUGGGCUCAACCCAGGAACUGCGUCCGAUACUGGUUGGCUUGAAUCCGGGGAGAGGGAUGUGGAAUUCCAGGUGUAGCGGUGAAAUGCGUAGAUAUCUGGAGGAACACCGGUGGCGAAGGCGACAUCCUGGACCGGUAUUGACGCUGAGGCGCGAAAGCCAGGGGAGCAAACGGGG